UGCCUCCGUUUUCAAACUACCUAUCUUCCAUUGUUUAAUUUGGAAAACUUAAUUAAAUCGGAAACCCAUAGAGGAGACAGAAGGUGAUAUAAUUGAAACCAAAGCAAAAGAGGAAGCAGGAGCUAAAACUGCACAGAAAGACGUCAUAGGUUACCUCGAUAAAGUGGUGCAUAAUUCUUUCUUUCUGAUGAAGCCUCUUAUUUGGGGGAAAUCUUUCAAUGCAAAUCAAUUACCUGCUUGCUGCACAAAAAGGAUUAAUCACUGCUCCUUUGUUUUCCUUUUAGCUUGGCGGUAUGACAUCUUCGGGUGGUGUAGUACAUAUGGUGAGUACUGACAACAAGUCAAGUGAUACUGGUGUUUAGAAAAUAUUUGCUUGUUUUCUUAUGAAGGACAGAGGAGAGGAGAAAGUCUUUUUAGCUUAUUAGUUUCAGUUUCUCCCCCUCCUCCCCAUCUAUGUGCCUGACACAGGGAUUAGCAGCCGCUUGUCUUUAGAUUGUUUCAGCUUCAUCUCCUCUGAAAAAGCCAAAUUUAAAGUUGGAGAGGACUACAUGGGCCUGUUGGUGCUAGGAGUUGGAUCGAAGUAGAAAGAGAAAGCCUUAGCAUUUGGGUGAGCUGGAAGUGGACUUAGAGCCUUCACUGCUUCCCUGACUAAGCCUCUUGUCUCUGGGCAAUCUCUGGAUGCAAAUUAAAUCCCUACUUUCUCCGCAAAAAGACUAAUCACUGUUUCUCUGUUUCUUUCUCUGUUUUAGGUUGAUGGUGUUCCUGUAAGUAUUCGUAAACUGAUCUGGUCUUUCAAGGGAGAAAAACAUUUGCUUUUUUAUUUCUCCACCACAAAAUAGACAACCUGCUUCUCUCA
rnacentral:lncRNA from 1 species